CAGCAGGACGGAGCACAGAACCAGCAGGACGAAGAUGAGCGGCUGCAGCAGCUCCCCGCGCUCCUCUUGCUCGCGCAGAUCUGAAAGAGGCACAGAGGCCGUGCCUGGCUGGAUGCCGUUACAGGGCCCCAUGAACAAAACGGAGCCUGGAGAAUGCCCGACAUAACUUGAGGAGGGAUGUGAUCUGGCCGGGGAUGUCUGCACUGAAGAGGCUCCUGGCUGAGCGAGGGCAUUGAAUGGCCCGCAGAGCGAAGCAGGUAAAUGCAAAACUUACAGCUAUCCUCCCUCAGACACCUCACAGACUGUACUGGUGCUUGAAAAAAAGAAAUCAUACACACGGAACUUCAACCUGAAACUUCAUAACAAAAAAAGUCCACUAAGGAAAGCAUUUUGUUGUGCAAAAAGUCCCUCCCCCCUCCUCUGUUCACCUUCAUCUACUGAGGGUCUCACACACACACAAAGUUUCCUUCCAACGGGCGAGUUGGUAAGAAAGAGUCCUCCCUAUGUACAGUGAGUUAGAGAGAAGCUGGAUACAGUGCUGGCAAGAGGCAUUGGGUGAGUGCCUCUAUCUGGAAGUGUCCAUGUUCUCCUCCUUAAAGUUACUGCAGUGCUCUAUAACUUUCCUAUGGAUAAAACAAGGACAAGGAGAAAGGGUUUAGUGUAAAGCUUAUUGCACCCAGUUGUGAGACAGUAAGGUAAGAACUGUCCCACAGUUGAUCUCUAUGUAACUUUAUCCUCUUUGUGUCAAAACCAGUAAACUCCACAACAGCAGCUUAGAGCUCCCAGUCUGGAAUGUCAAGUCACAGUAGUGCACAUCCAGAUCCAUUUGUGACUGUUCAUUCACCACCCCCAUAUCCAAAUCCUCAGAUACCUUUGAAUCACAGCAGGAAACACGUGCACACAAAUGUCUGUCAUUCACUGUGCUGUCACCUGUGCCAUAAACACACACUGUGUGUAACUGUGACUGUCUUCUGCAGGCUCCAGUCCCCUCCAGUGCAUAGUGACCCUUCAGCUGUGGGAAUACCUGCUGCCCACCCACCAGGUAUGUGUUCCCAGCCCAUCUCUACCUCUUUUAUAUCCAUCCUGCAGGUAUGAAAUUACAGCUCUUGCUCUGCCAAUGACCAGAGACUGCAGCUGGCUUUUAAAACCCUGAACAGACUCCAAAAGAAGGUCACGUAACUGGGGAAGCUCACAAAGGUGAUGGACUCUCUCUGCCUUUUGAAAAAUGCUCUCAUUUUAACUGUGCAGUCAGUAGUUUUAAUGACAGACCAAUAUGACUCUGGAGACAGUGAUGACUGGAGACUAUUGGCCUAAGAGCUGCAAUUAGUCACGUGGCUCCCUUGACCAACAAGCCAAUUCUGUAACCAAUUUGCCUGGCAAUGAUCUGUGUGCAUUGCCCACCUACAAACACCUCCAGUCUGUUUUCACCUAUUUUUCCUGUGUUCACUUCAUACCCCUUGCACACAUCGAUGCAGGCCUUGCUUUGGCAGCCUCACUUGAUGGGGAAGAAUAAAAACUAAAGUAAAGCUAAACUGGAUGUUUGUGACAGUGCUCUGGUGUCCUACCGGGCCAUUUCCUUGGUCUCUUGCCGUGCUGAGGCCAUUUUGAUCAUGUCCUUCAGGAGAGGGAUCCCACCUUCUUUGAUCAGCAGCGGGCAGUACUUGUCAGCUGCAGAGAAAAGAAUGAAACAGGCCCUUGUGAGCCCUCACAAGAGGGGUACAAAGGGUGGCAGGAGGGCAAGGAGAAGGAUCAAAACAGUGAAGGAAUUUCCUACACACCAAGUCUCAUUGUUUUUGUUUGGCUAUGCUGCCUGGACAUUCCUGCAUCAUUCAAAAAAGGUUUUCUCCCCCUACAUAGCUUAACUGGGAAGACUUUUUCUGCUGACAGCCUCAGAGCCACCCCCUCAAGUUCUACAGUGCAAGGGAUGUGAUUUCAGAAAGGGAACUUACGGUAGACAGAGACCAGGUUAUAGAGUGCCCAGGUGGCCCAGUGCUGGCUGACUGGGGAGAUUCCUUGUGGAAGAAGUCGGAGGAUUGGUUCAAAUGACCUGCACAGAAAUAUUACAGAAGUUGUUAAAAAUCCGAGAGUAACUUCUUUCAGAACCUUCACCACUCACAGCAAUACAAACUCUGCUCACAGAUGUCACAGCAGUAAAUGCACUGCCAUGCCAAAGAUUCUGGCACCAAGGCUGUGUCCCAGGGCAGUGCUGGCAGGAUUACAGGCCCCACCACUUCAGCACAAACACUGCCCAGAUAAAUAGCUGCUAGGAGGGUGACUGAGCCCAAAAUCUGAUUUCCAUCCUCCAUCAGUCAUUUGCUCACGACAGCUAAAACCCAGCACUGAUCGAUCUGUAGAGGGGAUAAAGCCAAGCUAUACCCAGGCAAAGCUGGCUGCACACGUGCAAGGGUUGCUGUGUUUCUUCUGACAACAAUGACAUGUCUAUACUGUGGAACAGGCACUGGAAUGCCAGUUCUGGAUCCCUGCCAAGCACUAAGGGAAUACUGAGUACCUGAUACCCUCUUACAGGAAGGGUUUUGGACGGUCCCAGCAGUUGUAUAAACGCAUGAAGGGAUUUCUGGGAACUGUGUCUAAAUAUGCCCCUGAGAGUGAAAGCUACAGCACAUGACUUUGGGAAGCAAACACUUAAGGAGCUGCAAAGGACAGCAGUCUCAGAGCAUGAUGCUUAGGCAGUCCCAGACAGAUCAUGGGUUUCCUGAGCUACUCAAUUUCAUCAGAAACAUGCAGGAGAAAUUCUGUUGGGCUCCCAAACUUCUCCCAUAGGAAUUGCCAGGUAAGGUGUCUAAUUUCAGCAGCUUGUGUAACAUAUUUCAAAGGAAGAUGUAAAACCCUCACUAAAGAAUAUCCCUGAGGAUGUUCCUCUCUCACUUUGAACAGAGCCUCCAUGCUGGGCUAUAUCUCUUCCAUUCCCUCUGUUGGUGUUGGCUUCCUGUGACAAUCCUGGCUCCUGGGUGAGUGGGCCAAACUUUUCCUAUUCCUCACCUGUAAUUGAUAUUUCUCCUGGAGUUGAUAUCCCAGCUCUGGAUGGCUGCCCACAUCCUCUUCACAACUUCCUCUCGGUGGGGCUCACAGAUCCCCCAAGCCUCUGGACCAUCAAACAUGAUAUGGGAGAGCACUCCACAGGCAUUAUAGGACACCUCAAUCCCGUCGGCUUUGCUCUCCAGCAGGUUGCUACCAAGGGAGACGAGAUCACUUAGAGGUGCUGAAGCAGCAAAGGUUUAGGAGUCUCCAGGUGAUGGAGGAGCAGAGCUCCAGGCCCAGCUGAUGAGCCAGGCACUCACCUGAACACACUGAUGAACUGGGAGGUCAUGAGCUGUGGGCGGAGCUCCUUCACUUCUGCCACAUUGCCCAGGAGGCCCAGCAUGUUGCGGUGCAGCUCCUGUUUCUCUGGGAAUUCCUGGAUGAGCAAAGGACAGGAUUACAUACAGGUAGGGCCACAGUGAUGCCAAGAACAAGCAACCCUGGGGAAAGGCUGUACAGCACAUCUAGAAAGGCUGAGCACUUUUGGGAAGUCAGGAAUGGCUCCUUAGCAGGAGCCAAAUGGGAUCUGGAGUGCUAAAGGUACAUGUGAAGUGAGAGAGUUGAGACCAGGGCCCUCUGUUCACUGUUCACUGCUGCUCUGCUCAGGGGAACUGAGCAAAGCUGGGGAAAGAGGAAGAUGUGUUGACUUCCUCUGUUCUACUGGCUGGGUAGAAGGAUGUGAGAAGAACAUAGACAAGCUUUUACUUUUCCAUUUGUGCAAUGCAGGAAGUACUCCUUGGAGAGGAGCAGAGCCAGGGAUCCUGCCCAGGCACCCACAUCUCCACUGCUCGUGGAGACAAUCUCUCCCCAGAGACAAUCCCACUUACUUUCAAGCACUCCAAGAACAGUUUCAUGCCGCUGUAGUUAAGGAACAUCUCACAGUUAUCUGGGGUCUCAUCAGUGAUGUUCCAUAGGGCACUCCAGGAGAACUCCAUCACCUGAUCACACUAGAGAGUCAAAGAAGGGACAGAAUCAGAGCUUUGCUAAUGUGGGAGCCUGACGCAGACCAACCACUUGUUUCCUCUGGCAUCACCCCAAAUGGCUCCAGAGGUAAGAAAACCUUGUUAUUCACUUUCAAUUUGUCAGCAAGUGGGUUUUUUUGUUUAAUAUUUUUGUCUCCCUGUCACAUUCCCCUGCCCUCAGCCUGAGACAAGAAAUUCUGCAGCAUCAGCUGAGAUGUCUUGUGUUUGUCAGAGAAGCUGAGCUGGCACUUUGGGCUGAUCUCCAGGCCUAAGUGGGACUGAAGAGAAAAUACUCUAUGUAUAUGUUUUUUUGGGGAAACACUCACCGUUUUAUCAGCCAACUUCUUCUGAAUCAACUUUAGCAUUGUCUGUGGGCAAAGGAAGGGGAAGAGUGAGAAACAGUUUAGAAAUCAUGGAGCUAAAACUUAGCUGCUGUGGUACUGCAGUGGCCAAUUUUCGGGCAUAUUCAAUUUUGAUCCUUUGUAGAGAACCUACUUGGUAUCUCUUUCUUUAAACCAAUAGGACUGGGUUAUGUUCAAAGUUGCAGGUAUUUACAGAGAUGAACUAUGCCAGUCCCUGAACUGCUGAGUUUGUGGUUGAGUCAGUUUUGAUCUGUAUGACAAAGUCUGGGAUGUGGCAUAACUGCACCAGAGCACUGGCCUCUGCAGCUCUUGGAAAAGGUGAGGGAUGUGGGUUGACAUGAGCUGGGAAGCUGAUGCAAACUUGGGGAGGAAGAGAAGGAGCGAGCCACAAGGUGGUACCAGCUGUGGAAAUAACAUGAUGUGGUGGGGAGGUAUAACCUGUAUAAGGUUACAGUGCUUCCCUGCCCUCCCAGGCAGUCUCUGGGAUCAUGGCUGGUAAGCAAGCAAAGGGGCUCCAGGAAGGGUUAGCACUGCUGGGACAGUGGUUCCCUCCUGUGAUACUGUGAGGUUGGAUCACAGCUGGAUGCAUUGGGUGAACGGCUGCAAGGGAACUGUGCUGGCCUGGGUUAAGGGUAAGUAGACACCCUGGGACCAUACCAACCAUGACAAACCCCAUCUUGCCCACAGCUUCUUUGUGGUCGUUGUCCACCUGGCAGACCAGAGCGUUGCAGAGGUGCACAGCGAUGCGCUGGAUGGACUCGUCCUGCCGGCUCUGGUUGAGGAUGUUCAGCAGCAGCUCGUUGACCCGGCGGUACUGGAACUCCAGCUCCUCAGGAAUGCUGAAGUUACACAGUGUCAGGCAGCAGUUCCGCUGUACCUGGGCCAAAAGGAAGCAAACACUGGGCCAGGUGGCUACAAAACCACCGGCCCCAUCACUUCAUGUUUCCUUUCUGCUUGGUAUUGAAACCAUCUUCUUGCCUCACUACAACUACUAAAAUUUCAAUUACCCUUCUAUUUAGUGCUGUGCUUUAGCCAUGCUCUGUCAGUACCCCUUUCUUUCUCUCUGUCAGUUCAGUUUCACAGGGCCACACAAUUACCCAGGGCCCAAUUACCCACUUGCUUUCCAAGCCAGUUCCUCUCUGUGUGCAAGCUCAGCUGGCUUCCAGUACAGAGAUUUGGGAUGUUUCUUUCCAUUGACUCGAUAUCCCCAAUGCCUUUGACACCAUCUUUGACUGCUAUCCAUGGAAAAAAAGGAGCCUUGCUAUCAUUACUUUCUCCCCCUUUUUCUGGAGAAUAUCACAUGGAUAAGGAACACCCUGCAUGUAAUCCCCAUCACUGAGUGAAGGAAAGGAGCAGAUCUGGGCAAUCGCUUCUCUGCCUUGACUCAGUGCCUGGAGGCUGAGGAGACCCAGAUGCUGACACCAGGCUAAAGAAAUAGGAUAAGGGAAGGAGGGCGCUGAAGGAGCCUGGUCUGCUCUUACUGUGACCUCCUGGUAGGACUCCAUGCCGUUCAGCACCACCUGGAUGACCUGGCGCCGCAGCUUCACGCUCUGCUCCAUGCGGUACUCGGAGUUGGUCAGGUAGAACAGCGCCGCGCUGCCCGUCACCUGGAUGUUUUUGUCAUCCUUGUGGCACUUGAGGGCUGUGAUCACCAGCUGAGGAGAAAGAACAUGGAGCUUCAGUGCCACUGACUUGCUGUGGAGUCUUGGAGUGACUGUUAGACGCCCUCAAGGAAUGCGUGGCCCAGGCAUUGAGGGAAUGUGCUUAUGAAACGAAGGUAAACCAGGUCCACUGCACUACUGGAACUUUCUCCAGAACGGUUUCCCAGGGUGAAAAAAAGACUGGGACCACAAAAUUACCCUUGUGAGGGAGAGGCAAAGGCUCACCUGGAGGGCUCUCAGCAGCUGGCUGCAGCGCUCGAUGCGGGCGAUGUCGAACAGGAGGUUGAUGGCGCGGGAGGUGAUCUCCGGCCGGUGCUCCGUGUAAGCCUCGAUGGCAUUCAGGACUUGCUCUUCAUUCUUGUCUCCACUCACCUGGUACAGGGGAACAAAAACAGUCAGGGAAGAAAUUAUGGAGGAGGAGGCAGAUUUCCUGCAUUAUCAACUAGGUAUUGAAAGGUCAGAGCUCAAUUGUCACAACUGAGACCCAAAGAACUCCGCUCUGCUGGCAGCCAAUAAUUUUCAUGUUCUUUCAACUAAUACCAAGCUCCCACUGCCUGCAUUCCUGCAGCCUUGUUACCUUGUAGGCUGGAAUAUGUGUCAGGCGGCAGAGAGACGUUUCAAAAAGGCCCAGGAACUGGAGUGGCCGUUUCAGACCCCGGAAGGGAGCAAUGCUGCUCUUUGCUGGCUCAAUGCUGAGGGGAAAAAAUAAGAGAUCGCUCAUGUCGGUACCGUGUUUCUUCAGGUGUCAGCCCUCCAUUCACUCUGCACUGCCUCAUAACCAGAGUGAUAAUGGCUACACUUCACUUUACAGGAGCUCCUAAACAUAACCCUAAACGUUCAUCCCAGGUGAUCCUGAGUGAAGGGUGAAUGUGUGGAAUAGAACCAGCAGUAAGAAGAAUUCAUGCAGACAGAAUGCAGCUUUCCCAGGUAGAAUUUGUCCUGGAAAUUCACUGGUUGGAGUGAACAUUUCCUUUUAAAGGGCUGUGGAUUUCGCUGAUCCAAAGUAUUUGCAGUCUGGGCUGUGCAUCAUCUGAUAGACUAGAUCUGCUUCUGUGAGCAGGCAGGAACACUGCUUUUGCUGCCAUGUUCCUUAUUGACCAAGAGCCAGUGCAUUUUCACCAGCUCUGAUAAAAAGGAGCCAGUACUGUCCCACUUGUUUGCUUCUGUUCAGUAAGUGCUUCAUAGGAGGGCAGAGUUCUUGGCUGAGCUGGAAAACCAAACCUCUAGCUGUGCCCCUACCAGGAUUUGCAAGGAUUGAUCUCCCCAAUAUCCAGGUCAAAUCUGAAAACAGGCCUUUAGAUUCCAAGUUCCUAAAACAUUCAGCCCUCCCUGACUCAGUGUAUAAAUGUUCUGUCUCAAAAGAGCCUGAAUUUUAGUGAGGGUAAGAAUGUUCUGUGUAGGAAGUAUGUACAGAGCUUUGGAGUCCUUUCAGAAAUAAUCCUGCAGGAGAUCCCUGGGAGAAUGUGUGUGGAAAAGAACUGAAAUCCUUCAGAGCUGUAUGGCAGGCAGAUGGGAUGAUUUCUUUAUUACUCUUACAAGUCCUUACAUGUAUUGCAUACAGCAAUAGCAGUUGAUUCUCACACCAGUCUUUACUGUCAGGGGAAACUGGGAAGAGUUGUAUCCUGCUUCUUAGUAUUAGACCUACAGAAUUUGGGAACUCAAAAGAGGGAACUGUUCUUAACUCAUCUUUCCAUGAUCUAUCCAUCCAAGCAAACCUCAGUAACUGCUGUUCCUGUACCUUGUCUGGCCCAUCUUCUCCUCCAUGCUGGGGAUGGUGCAGUUCUCCAGCAUGGUGUGCCCUGAGAUGUCGAGCGAGCUGAGGUUCACCAGGUUCUCCACAAACAGGUUCAGAACCCGCCGGGUCAGCUUAAACUUGUAAUAACUGGACAGAUGGUCUCGGGAGAUAUCCAAGUGCCUGCAGGUGACAGAGAGCAUCUCAGAGCCUGGAGAGCGUUAGCUGGGGCUUCUGCCUCUCUACCAGAGGAAAAGGAGUACCAAGUGUGAUUAUUAUUUAUUAUUAUUUCCUUCCCAAGGUACAGGAAUGUGAUUCUGUAGGCUCUGGCAGCAGCAGCUGGCCCUGUGUGUAACCUAAGCACACAGAUUAUCUGGCAGAGGUCUACCUGGAGCAGAGCACAGUGAAUCGUCUGGCCACACAUCACAAAGCAAAUGGCUCCAGGCUCAGGAACUGCCUUUCCCAAGCUCCAUCGCAGCAGCCACCUGAGCAUUUCUGCCUGGAGAUUAAAAUGCAUCAGAGGAUCUUUGCAUCCCCAGAAACGUAUCUUGCCUCAUCCCACAAAUUAAGUUACACAAGAUUUUGUCUGCUUCCCCAAUCUUCUAAUUUUUCCACCUCGGGCUAGUACUCUGUCCUGAUUUCUUUCAGGUGUUUAAAUGCUUAAGCUUUGGGAAAAUCCUGCUGCUAUGGGAGUGGUGGGACAAACUGACCCACAUGGUGUGCAGGUGGGGUCCCUUACAGGGCAGGGGCUAAGAUCCUUGAGAGAGACUUUUCUAAACUUCCUGAAACAGGAGCCAGCAUCCCACUCACAAAAGUGUCUUCCAUCUGUUGCAGACCAGGUUUCAUUGCAAGUCACUGGGACUUAAAAGUACUUAGAUUUAGAAAAUGUUAUCCAGGAUGUUCCCUGAGACUCCAGAGUGUAUGUUAAUGUGCCUGAGUUCAACUGUGAUGAUGCUAAAGCCAUUGCAAAGCAUCCUUCCUGUGAAUAGUAAGGCCUUUCUCUCUGGUUUGGGAAGUCCUGGAUUCCUUUCCCAAUACCACUGUGAGGUUUGAAUAGCAAUUGUCUCAGCUCUGGUUCAGGAAAUUGUUUCACUGUCAACACUUUUAGGUCAGGAGCACCCAUUUGUUGACACUGCUUGUUCCCUUGGUUGCCCCAUCCAUGCACAGUGGGCUUCCAUGGAGUACAGCCAGAAGACAGCCUGAGCUCAGAGCUUUGCCUAGUUUUAUUACAGAGCUAGGCUUAAACUUUGUAAAUCCCAGUUUGAUGAAUGGUUUGGAGGACUGAGUUUCACAGUGUAUCACUGUGUUACUUUAUGUAACCAUAUGUAGUAAUUUUCUUUUGCCAUCUCUGGGGUAUUCACCUCUUCUAUUUUGUUUGUCUGGUUGGGGGUGGUGAUGGUUUUGGUUUGGUGUUCGGUUUGUGGGGGGUUUUUUUGGGUGUCUGGGGUUUUUUGGGAGAUGUGAAGGUGUUAUUUUUUGCUUUUCUAAGAGGAAGUUUCUGCUAAGUAUAUCUUUUUACAAGUAAAAUUCAGGCUGGCUUUAGACAUGUCAGAUAUGUGCAGUGAGUCAAUGAGUGAGCCUGUUCACAGGAAGGUUUAUAACCUGAACCCAGCAGGUUAUAAGGUUAGAGGCACCCAGAGGUGCUUCUCUGUUAGCAGGCAAGUAGAUAAUUCCUAAAAGACCUUUUCCUAUCAGCGGGCAAAGGAUAGGCAAGGAAGAACAGAUCUGACCUGAGCUUGCGAAGCUGUGCGAUCACUUGGAUGUGUUCCUCUGAAAGGUCCAUGUUGUAAAGCACUAAGGAAACCAGACUGUCCUUCCACUGGGUGAGGAAUCCCACAUCAUUCAGCUGGAUCCCAGAGAGAUCCAGAGCUGCCAGGGAGGCCAGAGGCCGCAGCAGGGUCUCCACGUUCACCCCCUCAAUCAGGCGGCCCAGGUUCAGGAAGCGCAGGCGGUUGAAGCCUUCAAAGGUAAAGUCCUUGACCAAGACCUGGCGGGUGGGGUUCACCAGACAGUCAUCCUCACACCCCCCGGGGUUCUCCUCCUCGUAGAAGAUAUUGCAGCAGCCAAAGAGGCUCAGGGAGAUCAGUGUGUGGCUGAAGCUCACCAAGGUUUGCAGGCUCUUGGCCGUCAGCUUCUCACAGUUAGUCAGGUAGAGCUCAACAAGAUCCUGGGAAAAGAGAAAUCAAGGUUAGGAUAUAUUUCACAGGUAAAGUGCCCACCCUGUUUGAUCCACACCUCCCGCUGGGACAGCCUGAGACCACAUAUCACCAGUGUCCCCAUCCCAUUCCCUACAGUGGCUUUGGGAGCUGAGAAGGGAGAAGCCGAUGUUAUUCCCAAAGUGAAGGAUGGAGCCUUGGGGAUCUGCAUGUCUGGGAUUCUAGCUGGUGCCCAUGCAGCAAUGCUGUGACAUGACAGCUGUCAAUGCAACAGCACCUGCUUCCUGAUGGCCUCCAGGUCCUGGUCCUGCACAAUCUGUUCCCGCAGGUGGAUCCGAGCCAGCCUGGUGCUCCGUGGGUCUGAGAAGAGGGUGAAGAAGCUUUCAUGGGGUUCGAAGAUGCUGUCUGUCUUCACCAGCUCCACAUACCUGUGGGGGGCAAUGGCAUUAGCACAGCAUGGCAGAGGCUCAGCUACAGUUCUGGCACCUGCACUGGUGACAUGGGAAUGUGACACCAACCCCCUCCUGAUCACCCAGAAAAUUAGCUGGCCAGAGUUCUCUGCCAGACUUUGUGGGCACAAGUUCAGCCAAGAGAGACUGUGACAGCCAAAUUAUGUAAAUCCCUGGAAACAGGUUGCUUUGUAAAUCUAUGGGAGCAGCAACUUUAAAAUUUAACAUCUGUUACCACUUUGCACUCUUUAUUUCUCUGCUUGGAGAGGGAGCUGUAAAGCUUCAGUAGUGGGAAAUGGGAAGGCUCCUUUGUUGCUUACUGACUGUGAAGCAGUGACUGUUUCACUCUGGGUUUACCCUUCUGAUUUCCCUUUUAACAGGACUUUGUUCAGCUCUAUCUGACUAACUUGGAAAGGGUGAUAUCCGCAGAAAUUAGAGUGAUAUAUAGCACUACAAUAACUCUGGGAACACUUCCUUCUGAACUUAAUGCAAACCUUUACUGCCAAGAUGAAGAUCAAUUGGAAAAACAGCCCUAUGAUUUCUUCCCCUUUCAUUCUUUUUGGAGAACUAUACACCCCUUUGCCUGAGCUCCCAGCUCCUCAAACCAGGCAAAGCUUCCCAAAGCCAGGCCUAAAACGUACU